rnacentral:rRNA from 1 species
AAUAGAUACCCCGGUAGUCCAUGCCGUAAACGUUGGGCACUAGGUGUGGGGCUCAUUCCACGAGUUCCGUGCCGCAGCAAACGCAUUAAGUGCCCCGCCUGGGGAGUACGGCCGCAAGGCUAAAACUCAAAGGAAUUGACGGGGGCCCGCACAAGCGGCGGAGCAUGCGGAUUAAUUCGAUGCAACGCGAAGAACCUUACCAAGGCUUGACAUGCACGGGAAGCCACCAGAGAUGGUGGUCUCUUUGGACACUCGUGCACAGGUGGUGCAUGGUUGUCGUCAGCUCGUGUCGUGAGAUGUUGGGUUAAGUCCCGCAACGAGCGCAACCCUCGUCCCAUGUUGCCAGCGGGUUAUGCCGGGGACUCAUGGGAGACUGCCGGGGUCAACUCGGAGGAAGGUGGGGAUGACGUCAAAUCAUCAUGCCCCUUAUGUCUUGGGCUUCACGCAUGCUACAAUGGCCGGUACAAAGGGCUGCGAUACCGUAAGGUGGAGCGAAUCCCAAAAAGCCGGUCUCGGUUCGGAUUGGGGU